GUCUGGAUUCCCACCAUGGCCUGGACCCCUCUGCUCCUCACGCUGAUCACUUACUGCUCAGGGAUCAGCUCACAGCCCGUGGUGACUCAGGAGCCCUCAAUGUCGGUGACCCCAGGAGGGACUGUCGCUCUGUCCUGCAGCCUGAGCACUGAAGCCAUCACCAGCAGCAGAUAUCCUAGCUGGUUCCAGCAGAAACCAGGCUCUGCUCCUCGACUGCUUAUAUACAACACCAAUACCAGAUCCUCUGGGAUCCCUGCCCGGUUCUCUGGAUCCAUAUCCGGUAACAAUGCUGCCCUGACCGUCACCGGUGUCCAGGCAGAGGAUGAGGCUGACUAUUACUGUGUUGUGUUUAUGGGUACCG